rnacentral:rRNA from 1 species
UAACACAUGCAAGUCGAGCGGAAACGAGUUAUCAGAACCUUCGGGGGACGAUAACGGCGUCGAGCGGCGGACGGGUGAGUAAUGCCUAGGAAAUUGCCCUGAUGUGGGGGAUAACCAUUGGAAACGAUGGCUAAUACCGCAUGAUGCCUACGGGCCAAAGAGGGGGACCUUCGGGCCUCUCGCGUCAGGAUAUGCCUAGGUGGGAUUAGCUAGUUGGUGAGGUAAGGGCUCACCAAGGCGACGAUCCCUAGCUGGUCUGAGAGGAUGAUCAGCCACACUGGAACUGAGACACGGUCCAGACUCCUACGGGAGGCAGCAGUGGGGAAUAUUGCACAAUGGGCGCAAGCCUGAUGCAGCCAUGCCGCGUGUGUGAAGAAGGCCUUCGGGUUGUAAAGCACUUUCAGUCGUGAGGAAGGUAGUGUAGUUAAUAGCUGCAUUAUUUGACGUUAGCGACAGAAGAAGCACCGGCUAACUCCGUGCCAGCAGCCGCGGUAAUACGGAGGGUGCGAGCGUUAAUCGGAAUUACUGGGCGUAAAGCGCAUGCAGGUGGUUUGUUAAGUCAGAUGUGAAAGCCCGGGGCUCAACCUCGGAAUUGCAUUUGAAACUGGCAGACUAGAGUACUGUAGAGGGGGGUAGAAUUUCAGGUGUAGCGGUGAAAUGCGUAGAGAUCUGAAGGAAUACCGGUGGCGAAGGCGGCCCCCUGGACAGAUACUGACACUCAGAUGCGAAAGCGUGGGGAGCAAACAGGAUUAGAUACCCUGGUAGUCCACGCCGUAAACGAUGUCUACUUGGAGGUUGUGGCCUUGAGCCGUGGCUUUCGGAGCUAACGCGUUAAGUAGACCGCCUGGGGAGUACGGUCGCAAGAUUAAAACUCAAAUGAAUUGACGGGGGCCCGCACAAGCGGUGGAGCAUGUGGUUUAAUUCGAUGCAACGCGAAGAACCUUACCUACUCUUGACAUCCAGAGAACUUUCCAGAGAUGGAUUGGUGCCUUCGGGAACUCUGAGACAGGUGCUGCAUGGCUGUCGUCAGCUCGUGUUGUGAAAUGUUGGGUUAAGUCCCGCAACGAGCGCAACCCUUAUCCUUGUUUGCCAGCGAGUAAUGUCGGGAACUCCAGGGAGACUGCCGGUGAUAAACCGGAGGAAGGUGGGGACGACGUCAAGUCAUCAUGGCCCUUACGAGUAGGGCUACACACGUGCUACAAUGGCGCAUACAGAGGGCGGCCAACUUGCGAAAGUGAGCGAAUCCCAAAAAGUGCGUCGUAGUCCGGAUUGGAGUCUGCAACUCGACUCCAUGAAGUCGGAAUCGCUAGUAAUCGUGGAUCAGAAUGCCACGGUGAAUACGUUCCCGGGCCUUGUACACACCGCCCGUCACACCAUGGGAGUGGGCUGCAAAAGAAGUAGGUAGUUUAACCUUCGGGGGGACGCUUACCACUU